GACGAGGUGAACGAGUGGUUAAGGUGAGGGACUGCUAAUCCAUUGUGCAUUGCAUGCGUGGGUUCGAAUCCCAUCUUCAUCG
rnacentral:tRNA from 1 species